GACAUUAGUAAAGUUGUGAGACAGCAUAUUCUAAUGUAAAAAGCAUUUUUUUAGAUGUUAGUACAGCUUUUAUACAGCUUUUUGAAUUACAAUGCCAAAGUUACGUUUUAUUCUAAGGCUGAACGUUUUAUUUUCUUUGUAUAAAAAUAUUUGAAAAAACUUAUCGAAACUUAUAUGUCCGAAUUGAUUAUAUAUAUUUCGUUUAGUGUAUUGCAGUGCAUUGGUGUUGUGCGAAUUGAAAAUAAUUUAUCAUAAGGUAAGACAAACAUCAAUUUUAUUUUGUUUUGAAUGCAAAUGAGUUGGGGGUAUUAGUCUUAUGUGAAAAUAUAUAUAUGUUUGUGGCUUAUAAUUCACGCGCCGUCACAGAAAUGCUUUUUAAUAAAAAAUAGGGACAAAUUUAGAAUCGACAUCAGCUGACCUUUUGUAAUUUUUUAACGAUUUCAUUAAUUUUAACGUAUAAAAUUGUUUCUAUCGAUACUUCGCUUAUAAAAAAAACAUAAUAAGUAGUAUUUCAUUCAUAUGUGUGUUAUAAUUUUAUUUUUUAUGUUCGAGAAAACAGAAAGCAAAUGGCGUCAUGUAAUAUUAAUGUUCUAAACUUUCAACUAGUGUCUUUUAAUGUUGUCAGUCUUAUUAUAGUAUAAAAAAAUAGCUUAAGUCAUUCAACCUACAUAAAAAAUAUCUAAGUGAUAUCUUUAGCAUUAUAGUAACACUUUUUAGGCAUGUUAUAAUGUUUAUUACCCUUAUACGUCAUAAAAAUGGAUUGCUAUAGUGUUAAUCAGGGUACCGAAAUAAUAAUUUAGAAUCCCUUAAUUACAUGAUACCCUACUCCACGUCUUUCAUAUUUUAUCUGUCUCCAGUUAGAUAAUUUUCCAAGUGUAAGUAUAAAAUCAUUAUCACAAUAAAUGAGUUGGGGAAUUCCCUGAAUCAUGUGCCCGAAUAGAACGAACGGGACGUGCGACUUAAAGUCGAUAAAACAACAAUCCCUACAAAACGUGACGUCACUUGCACCAAGAGAACGACCUCUAUUCAUUAGUAGUACUUGAUUCCUGUCCCUGUGACGACGCGCGCUCAUUUGCUAAAUAUUGUGUAUUUUAUUUUUGAUUAAUUUAAACACCGGCGUGAUCACGAUCCCUUACAGAUGCCUUUUAAAAUUGUGCAAACGACCGAAAGGGGAUCAACUAAACUGUUUAUUGUUCCAAGCGGGUGGGAAAGUCAGCGUCAACUGCGAUAUCCAAAAAGACCUAAUGAGUCUGCAUUAGUAAGGAAUGAAAAUUCCAAGCCUCGCGCAGAUUGGUCAGUGUUGCCUUGUAAAGUCAAACGGACGGGUUUUUUAACCUAUGAAGAUGCUGACGAGGAAUUGUCAAUUAUGAUGCAGCAUAGCGACACAGAUACCGGCCCCACUAUUUAUGAAGCCCAAAGGGAAACCCAGCUCGCAAUGUCAGGAUUACCAGAUUUCAAUAACUUGGCCGACCAACUAGUAACACUUCUGCAAAAUAAUUUUCAUUUUCAAAUCUUGAAUGUACUACGGAACCACUUGCUAGAACUUCUUGAACGGUGCUUGGCUCAUACACAACUACCGAUUGUUCUGUAUUUUGUGUAUCAUUGUUUGGAACACGUUUUUCAUUACUUAAACCAGAUAUAAAAUUUGAGUAUUCCA